GAGAGUUUGAUCCUGGCUCAGGACGAACGCUGGCGGCGUGCCUAAUACAUGCAAGUAGAACGCUGAAGAGAGGAGCUUGCUCUUCUUGGAUGAGUUGCGAACGGGUGAGUAACGCGUAGGUAACCUGCCUUGUAGCGGGGGAUAACUAUUGGAAACGAUAGCUAAUACCGCAUAACAAUGGAUGACACAUGUCAUUUAUUUGAAAGGGGCAAUUGCUCCACUACAAGAUGGACCUGCGUUGUAUUAGCUAGUAGGUGAGGUAACGGCUCACCUAGGCGACGAUACAUAGCCGACCUGAGAGGGUGAUCGGCCACACUGGGACUGAGACACGGCCCAGACUCCUACGGGAGGCAGCAGUAGGGAAUCUUCGGCAAUGGGGGCAACCCUGACCGAGCAACGCCGCGUGAGUGAAGAAGGUUUUCGGAUCGUAAAGCUCUGUUGUAAGUCAAGAACGAGUGUGAGAGUGGAAAGUUCACACUGUGACGGUAGCUUACCAGAAAGGGACGGCUAACUACGUGCCAGCAGCCGCGGUAAUACGUAGGUCCCGAGCGUUGUCCGGAUUUAUUGGGCGUAAAGCGAGCGCAGGCGGUUUGAUAAGUCUGAAGUUAAAGGCUGUGGCUCAACCAUAGUUCGCUUUGGAAACUGUCAAACUUGAGUGCAGAAGGGGAGAGUGGAAUUCCAUGUGUAGCGGUGAAAUGCGUAGAUAUAUGGAGGAACACCGGUGGCGAAAGCGGCUCUCUGGUCUGUAACUGACGCUGAGGCUCGAAAGCGUGGGGAGCGAACAGGAUUAGAUACCCUGGUAGUCCACGCCGUAAACGAUGAGUGCUAGGUGUUGGAUCCUUUCCGGGAUUCAGUGCCGCAGCUAACGCAUUAAGCACUCCGCCUGGGGAGUACGACCGCAAGGUUGAAACUCAAAGGAAUUGACGGGGGCCCGCACAAGCGGUGGAGCAUGUGGUUUAAUUCGAAGCAACGCGAAGAACCUUACCAGGUCUUGACAUCCCGAUGCUAUUUCUAGAGAUAGAAAGUUACUUCGGUACAUCGGUGACAGGUGGUGCAUGGUUGUCGUCAGCUCGUGUCGUGAGAUGUUGGGUUAAGUCCCGCAACGAGCGCAACCCCUAUUGUUAGUUGCCAUCAUUCAGUUGGGCACUCUAGCGAGACUGCCGGUAAUAAACCGGAGGAAGGUGGGGAUGACGUCAAAUCAUCAUGCCCCUUAUGACCUGGGCUACACACGUGCUACAAUGGUUGGUACAACGAGUUGCGAGUCGGUGACGGCAAGCUAAUCUCUUAAAGCCAAUCUCAGUUCGGAUUGUAGGCUGCAACUCGCCUACAUGAAGUCGGAAUCGCUAGUAAUCGCGGAUCAGCACGCCGCGGUGAAUACGUUCCCGGGCCUUGUACACACCGCCCGUCACACCACGAGAGUUUGUAACACCCGAAGUCGGUGAGGUAACCUUUUGGAGCCAGCCGCCUAAGGUGGGAUAGAUGAUUGGGGUGAAGUCGUAACAAGGUAGCCGUAUCGGAAGGUGCGGCUGGAUCACUCCCUU
rnacentral:rRNA from 1 species